rnacentral:rRNA from 1 species
UACGAAGGGGGCUAGCGUUUGUUCGGAAUUACUGGGCGUAAAGCGCACGUAGGCGGAUCGAUCAGUCAGGGGUGAAAUCCCAGGGCUCAACCCUGGAACUGCCUUUGAUACUGUCGAUCUGGAGUAUGGAAGAGGUGAGUGGAAUUCCGAGUGUAGAGGUGAAAUUCGUAGAUAUUCGGAGGAACACCAGUGGCGAAGGCGGCUCACUGGUCCAUUACUGACGCUGAGGUGCGAAAGCGUGGGGAGCAAACAGG